rnacentral:rRNA from 1 species
CGGGACGGGUGAGUAACGCGUGGAUAACCUGCCUCACACAGGGGGAUAACAGUUAGAAAUGACUGCUAAUACCGCAUAAGCGCACAGUACCGCAUGGUAUAGUGUGAAAAACUCCGGUGGUGUGAGAUGGAUCCGCGUCUGAUUAGGUAGUUGGUGGGGUAACGGCCCACCAAGCCGACGAUCAGUAGCCGACCUGAGAGGGUGACCGGCCACAUUGGGACUGAGACACGGCCCAA